rnacentral:lncRNA from 1 species
AUGGUUUUCAGAGUGAGGGAUGUGGAGGUGACCAAAGUCAGAAAUCUUGAAUUACACUACAUUGGUAAUGCCUUUCAUUUAUCUCCCAAGAUGCAGUACAACACAAAUAACUCAUUGGGCCUACAAAAAAAGAAAAAAAAAACUGAGAAGAAAGAAACAUUGAGAAUGCAUUCCAAUCCACUUAUCACAUCAUUGAAGGGAAAGUGCACUUUGGAGGACAGGAACAUUUUUACAUGGAAACUCAAAGUGAAAGUGAAGUGGCAAAGGCAGAGGAUUAAAACAUGGAACUUUAUGUGUCAUGCCAGGAUGCAGCAUUUACACAGGUGGCCAGCCAUGAAUUAA